UGGAGAACAGCCUAUUGCAAGACCUCUCGGUCCCGAAAGGUCAAGAGGUUGGACUAAAUUGAAAUAUACUGAGAAAACACUAAAUUAUAAAUUUACCCUCAGUUUGGUCAUGUUAAUCUGCUGCCUCUGUCAGAGCACAAUAACGUUGAUGUUUAAAGUUAGCGUUGCGUGAGCACUGCGGGAUCAUCUUGGUCAGCAGCUGACAUCGUUAUCAGCUCACUCACCCCAUCUAGUGGUUUGGAGGCUAAGCUACACUAAGAUAAUUCUGAAAUAAGACCCAGACGUUGAUGAAUACCCAGCAGCUAGAUAACACCUUACGGUAAUAAAAACACGAGUUGUCCUUAUUUUUAAAAAUAUAUUUUCCAACGCAUACCCUAAUUUUCAGUGUAAUUCAGUGUAAAACAACAGUUCUGCAGUAAAUCCUCGUGAAAGUUUGAGGUCUCCGUGAUGGCACUGCUCAGCUGCUCAGCUGCAGGAAUCCAAGAGGUAUAAGGGGUCCUUGGCGUGAAGAUGUUUGAGAGAACUGCUACAGUCAACAGAAAAGUCAGCUCUUUGACGGCGCUGCCCGAAGCCGAGCCUAAUGAAAGGAUUAGUAUAUGGCGGGAGUGAAUACCGGACUGUGCUCGAACAGAAGUCUGAAUCGGGAAAGACAGGGCGUCUCUCCAGCAGGACCUCCACUGCUGACUGUGAAAAUGCUUGAGGAAAAGGGUGCUCUGGGAAAAACGGGUGAGUGAGAGCCGGAGAGGCUGCUGUGAUGGAGUAUCAUCCUUUCAAUUACAGGAAAAUCCUCAUGAUGUUAUUGUAUGAGUCCAUAAAUCCUCAGAAAAAUAUGGCAUGACAUUAAUGGUGCGGUAGCGGUUUAAUAAUU